UACGAAGGGGGCUAGCGUUGUUCGGAAUUACUGGGCGUAAAGCGCACGUAGGCGGCUUUGUAAGUUAGAGGUGAAAGCCCGGGGCUCAACUCCGGAAUUGCCUUUAAGACUGCAUCGCUAGAAUUGUGGAGAGGUAAGUGGAAUUCCGAGUGUAGAGGUGAAAUUCGUAGAUAUUCGGAAGAACACCAGUGGCGAAGGCGACUUACUGGACACAUAUUGACGCUGAGGUGCGAAAGCGUGGGGAGCAAACGGG
rnacentral:rRNA from 1 species